AGCGACGUCUGGCGAGACUGCCGCCGACAAGGACGGAGGAAGGUGGGGAUGACGUCAAGUCAUCAUGGCCUUUAUGCCCAGGGCUACACACGUGCUACAAUGGCCGGCACAGACGGCAGCUUAGUGGCGACACUUGGCAAAUCCUCUAAAGCCGGUCCCAGUUCGGAUUGCAGUCUGCAACUCGACUGCAUGAAGCCGGAAUCGCUAGUAAUCGCAGAUCAGCCAAGCUGCGGUGAAUACGUUCCCGGGCCUU
rnacentral:rRNA from 1 species